rnacentral:lncRNA from 1 species
UUAACAAGUCUCCAGAAAACCAAUUUUUUUAUAGAUAAGAACACAAGAAUUACUGUUAUCUCUUAUCUUUUAACAGGAAUUUUGUAGAAGAUGAGCAUUCUUCAUUUCAAAAAUAAUUGGAGAAGAUUAGCUGUGAAGCCAAAGAUUGUGCCUGUCAGUGCCACUUAGUGGAACAAGAGGUCAGAGUGGUAAUUGUGAGUCAGAACUCAGGACCUGAAAUGGGUAAGGUGACUUGAAAUGAGAUGUUUAAUUUGCAAGACAAAAAAAUUAAAAUGUGGGUGUAUGCUGAAUGCCUCUGUCAUAUAAG